rnacentral:rRNA from 1 species
GCGCAGCCUACCAUGCAGUCGAGCGGAUGAGAGGAGCUUGCUCCUUAAUUCAGCGGCGGACGGGUGAGUAAUGCCUAGGAAUCUGCCUGGUAGUGGGGGACAACGUUUCGAAAGGAACGCUAAUACCGCAUACGUCCUACGGGAGAAAGCAGGGGACCUUCGGGCCUUGCGCUAUCAGAUGAGCCUAGGUCGGAUUAGCUAGUUGGUGAGGUAAUGGCUCACCAAGGCGACGAUCCGUAACUGGUCUGAGAGGAUGAUCAGUCACACUGGAACUGAGACACGGUCCAGACUCCUACGGGAGGCAGCAGUGGGGAAUAUUGGACAAUGGGCGAAAGCCUGAUCCAGCCAUGCCGCGUGUGUGAAGAAGGUCUUCGGAUUGUAAAGCACUUUAAGUUGGGAGGAAGGGCAGUAAAUUAAUACUUUGCUGUUUUGACGUUACCGACAGAAUAAGCACCGGCUAACUCUGUGCCAGCAGCCGCGGUAAUACAGAGGGUGCAAGCGUUAAUCGGAAUUACUGGGCGUAAAGCGCGCGUAGGUGGUUCGUUAAGUUGGAUGUGAAAUCCCCGGGCUCAACCUGGGAACUGCAUUCAAAACUGUCGAGCUAGAGUAUGGUAGAGGGUGGUGGAAUUUCCUGUGUAGCGGUGAAAUGCGUAGAUAUAGGAAGGAACACCAGUGGCGAAGGCGACCACCUGGACUGAUACUGACACUGAGGUGCGAA